GACGGGGGGGGCAAGUGUUCUUCGGAAUGACUGGGCGUAAAGGGCACGUAGGCGGUGAAUCGGGUUGAAAGUGAAAGUCGCCAAAAAAGUGGCGGAAUGCUCUCGAAACCAAUUCACUUGAGUGAGACAGAGGAGAGUGGAAUUUCGUGUGUAGGGGGUGAAAUCCGUAGAUCUACGAAGGAACGCCAAAAGCGAAGGCAGCUCUCUGGGUCCCUACCGGACGUGGGGUGCGAAAGCAUGGGGAGCGAACAGG
rnacentral:rRNA from 1 species